rnacentral:SRP_RNA from 1 species
GCUGGGCGUAGUGGUGCACGCCUGUAAUCCCAGCUACUUGGGAGGCUGAGGUAGGAGAAUCACUUGAGUCUGGGAGAUGGAGGUUGCAGUGAGCUGAGUUUGCGCCACUGCACUCCAUCCAGCCUGGUUGACAGAGUGAGACUCUGUCUCAU